GAGAUGUUAGUAAAACAAUUACCUAAUCUUGUCAAGAUUAAAUCACAGGUGAAAAUCCUGUACACCUCA
rnacentral:tRNA from 1 species